AGUGAACGCUGGCGGCGUGCUUAACACACGCAAGUCGAACGAGAACGGGUUAUAGCUUGCUAUAAUUGUCAGCUAAGUGGCGCACGGGUGAGUAAUGUAUAGGUAAUAUGCCUCUUACUAAGGGAUAACAAAUGGAAACGUUUGCUAAUACCUUAUACUCCUUAUUAACAUAAGUUAAUAAGGGAAAGAUUUAUUGGUAAGAGAUUAGCCUGUAUUGUAUCAGUUAGUUGGUGGGGUAAUGGCUUACCAAGACUAUGACACAUAACUGGUUUGAGAGGAUGAUCAGUCACACUGGAACUGAGACACGGUCCAGACUCCUACGGGAGGCAGCAGUGGGGAAUAUUGCACAAUGGACGAAAGUCUGAUGCAGCAACGCCGCGUGGAGGAUGACACAUCUCGGUGCGUAAACUCCUUUUAUAUGAGAAGAUAAUGACGGUAUUAUAUGAAUAAGCACCGGCUAACUCCGUGCCAGCCGCCGCCGUAA
rnacentral:rRNA from 1 species